rnacentral:lncRNA from 1 species
CUUUCAAGCUAUUUGUGGGCAAGAGUUGUUUCAACCUACAUAAAUGACUCAUUGAUAAAAAAGGUAAAAGCAAAGAAGAGAGGAGAAGCCUCUAUAAGAGUUUUUCGGGUUGCACUAUCCUAAUAUUAGUAAGUAAACAUUGGCUUAUGCAAUGCAUUUUGAGUUUUAUGCAAUGCAGUUUCCAUUUACUGUAAUGUAGAAACAGAAAUUGCAUUGCAGUUUCUGUUUUAUCCAAUGAAGUUUCCAGCCUAAUUUCUGACAUAUCUUGUUUUUGAACUGUGCAGUUUCUACUGUGUGAGAGGACAAACAUCAUACAACCAAUCCUUCGCAAGGAGAAAGAAAUUCCUACAAUUCUUAAAUGGAGUCUUGUGGAACUCCACACAAGAUUCAACCAAAUAG